UACAGAGGGUGCAAGCGUUGUUCGGAAUUACUGGGCGUAAAGCGUGCGUAGUCGGUAUUGAGAGUCACGGGUGAAAUCCCAAGGCUUAACCUUGGAACUGCCUGUGAGACCUCAGUACUAGAGUGUGGAAGAGGGUCGUGGAAUUCCCAGUGUAGAGGUGAAAUUCGUAGAUAUUGGGAAGAACACCGGUGGCGAAGGCGGCGACCUGGUCCAUUACUGACGCUGAGGCGCGAAAGCGUGGGGAGCAAACAGG
rnacentral:rRNA from 1 species